rnacentral:rRNA from 1 species
AGAACUUAGCAGAGAUGCUUUGGUGGCCUUCGGGAACUCUGAGACAGGUGCUGCAUGGCUGUCGUCAGCUCGUGUUGUGAAAUGUUGGGUUAAGUCCCGCAACGAGCGCAACCCUUAUCCUUUGUUGCCAGCGGUCCGGCCGGGAACUCAAAGGAGACUGCCAGUGAUAAACUGGAGGAAGGUGGGGAUGACGUCAAGUCAUCAUGGCCCUUACGAGUAGGGCUACACACGUGCUACAAUGGCGCAUACAAAGAGAAGCGACCUCGCGAGAGCAAGCGGACCUCAUAAAGUGCGUCGUAGUCCGGAUUGGAGUCUGCAACUCGACUCCAUGAAGUCGGAAUCGCUAGUAAUCGUAGAUCAGAAUGCUACGGUGAAUACGUUCCCGGGCCUUGUACACACCGCCCGUCACACCAUGGGAGUGGGUUGCAAAAGAAGUAGGUAGCUUAACCUUCGGGAGGGCGCUUACCACUUUGUGAUUCAUGACUGGGGUGAAGUCGUAACAAGGUAAGCGUAGCGAG